rnacentral:lncRNA from 10 species
CAGCCCCUCACUAGCUGUGUGAAGUUGAGCUCAUUUACUCCCUCUCUGAGCUUCAGUCGCCCACCUCCCUCCUACAACAUGAGGGGCUGGAUCAGACAGGGGGCAGCAAGCUCCAGCGCCGCCUUCCUAGAUCAGUAAUCAGUGAACCCCUGCACCCUUGCACCCUUGCACCCUCCUGGGGCAGCCAUUUCUCAAGCUAUGUGGGGAAGGACUGCAGGGAGCAAUGUGGCCCUGGGUGCCCUGACUGAGAUGACCUUGACCAUUCAGGCAUCCUCUAGCAGACUUUCUGGAUGUGUUUCCAAGUCGUUGGGCCUUAAGGCAAUACCCUUCCUCCUCAUGGCUUCCUCCUUCUCCCCUUCUGGAAUGUAGAUGUGAUGACUGGAGGUGUGGCAGCUGUCUUGUGCUCCUGAGAGAAAGGACAAGACAGUGAUAAAGACUCAUCUGUGACAUCUUCAAGCUGCUGGAACAAUACUGGAACUGUCGUCUUUCUGUUAUGUGAAAAAGCAGAACCCUCUAAUUUGUUUAAGCGAUUGUUUGAUCAGGUUUUGUGUCACAUGCAGCUGAACACAAUUCUAAAAGAUUCACUCCUCUUUAGCAAAUGUUGUUGUAUGAAAUAUUAGUUAUAGUAGUGUGGAACUAUCACAAUUAGCCAGUUAUUUAAGAACUAAGCUUGGCUGGGCAUGGUGGCUCAAGCCUGUAAUCACAGCACAUUGGGAGGCCAAGGCAGGCAGAUCACUGGAGGUCAGGUGUUCGAGACCAGCCUGGCCAAUAUGGUAAAACCCUGUCUCUACUAAACAUACAAAAAUUAGCUGGGCAUGGUGGCGGGCACCUGUAAGCCCAGCUACUUGGGAGGCUGAGACAGAAGAAUUGCUUGAACCUGAGAGGCGGAGGUUGCAGUGAGCUGAGAUCAUAUCACGGCACUCUAGACUGGGCAACAGAGCUAGACUCCGUCUCAAAAAAACAAAAAAAAAUUAGAACUAAGCUCAACAUCUGUAAGUUUUUUUCAGUAAUGUCUAAAAUCAUGUGUUAUUCAAUUUGGUAUGUUAGAAAAUAGUAUCAAUUUUAAUAACACAUUCAAUAUCUCUUUAAGCAUUUUUAUUAAAGUGUAAUACACAUAUGGAAACAAGCACAUAAGUAUACACCUCCUUAAUUAUUCAUAAACCAAAUGCAUCCAAGCAGACAAGACCCAGAUCAAGAAAGAGAAUGUGACCAGCUUCCUGGGAGAAACCUCUUUUGAGAUUUGAUUCUUCAUUACGAAAACAAAAAGGCCACAUCCUGUUGGUCAUAGAAAAAUGACUUAAAUAGUCUGUGAAAAAUAAUAGCAUGCUAAAAUAAACUCAUCUGUCAGCAAAUACUGUUUAAUGAGGCAGAGAAAACAUUGUUAAAGAAUCACAGCAAAUAUUGCUGGAACGAAUUUCUCAUGUGGGC